AGAGAUUCUUCGGAAUCUUGAGAGCGGCGCACGGGUGCGGAACACGUGUGCAACCUACCUUUAUCAGGGGGAUAGCCUUUCGAAAGGAAGAUUAAUACCCCAUAAUAUAUUGAAUGGCAUCAUUUAAUAUUGAAAACUCCGGUGGAUAGAGAUGGGCACGCGCAAGAUUAGAUAGUUGGUGAGGUAACGGCUCACCAAGUCAAUGAUCUUUAGGGGGCCUGAGAGGGUGAUCCCCCACACUGGUACUGAGACACGGACCAGACUCCUACGGGAGGCAGCAGUGAGGAAUAUUGGACAAUGGGUGAGAGCCUGAUCCAGCCAUCCCGCGUGAAGGACGACGGCCCUAUGGGUUGUAAACUUCUUUUGUAUAGGGAUAAACCUUUCCACGUGUGGAAAGCUGAAGGUACUAUACGAAUAAGCACCGGCUAACUCCGUGCCAGCAGCCGCGGUAAUACGGAGGGUGCAAGCGUUAUCCGGAUUUAUUGGGUUUAAAGGGUCCGUAGGCGGACUCGUAAGUCAGUGGUGAAAUCUCAUAGCUUAACUAUGAAACUGCCAUUGAUACUGCGGGUCUUGAGUAAGGUAGAGGUAGCUGGAAUAAGUAGUGUAGCGGUGAAAUGCAUAGAUAUUACUUAGAACACCAAUUGCGAAGGCAGGUUACCAUGUCUUAACUGACGCUGAUGGACGAAAGCGUGGGGAGCGAACAG
rnacentral:rRNA from 1 species